UACGUAGGGUGCGAGCGUUGUCCGGAAUUAUUGGGCGUAAAGAGCUCGUAGGCGGUCUGUCGCGUCGACCGUGAAAACUUGGGGCUUAACCCUAAGCUUGCGGUUGAUACGGGCGGGCUAGAGUUCGGUAGGGGAGACUGGAAUCCUGGUGUAGCGGUGAAAUGCGCAGAUAUCAGGAGGAACACCGGUGGCGAAGGCGGGUCUCUGGGCCGAUACUGGCGCUGAGGAGCGAAAGCGUGGGGAGCGAACAGG
rnacentral:rRNA from 1 species